rnacentral:rRNA from 1 species
UGAGUUUGAUCCUGGCUCAGGAUGAACGCUGGCGGCAUGGAUAAGGCAUGCAAGUCGAGUGGGUUUAGGCCCACGGCAAACGGGUUAGUAAUACAUAGGAAUCUGCCCUGAAGUCGUGAAUAAUUCGGAGAAAUCCGAAAUAAUACACGAUGUGCUCUACGGAGUAAAGAUUUAUCGCUUCAGGAGGAGCCUGUGUCCUAUCAGCUAGUUGGUGAGGUAAUGGCCCACCAAGGCUAUGACGGGUAGGGGGUGUGAGAGCAUGACCCCCAACAUUGGAACUGAGACACUGUCCAAACACCUACGGGUGGCUGCAGUCGAGAAUAAUUGUCAAUGGACGAAAGUCUGAACAUGCGAUGCCGCGUGCAGGAUGAAGGCCCUCGGGUCGUAAACUGCUUUUCUUAGGAAAGAAUUACGAUGACGGUACCUAAGGAAUGAGGGGUUACUAACUCUGUGCCAGCAGUAGCGGUAAUACAGAGACCCCAAGCGUUAUCCGGAUUUAUUGGGCGUAAAGCGCGGGUAGGCGGUCUUGUUAGUCAGAUGUCAAAUCCUUCGGCUCAACCGAAGAACUGCAUUUGAAACGGCAAGACUUGAGAGCGUGAGAGAUCGGUGGAAUUCACGGUGUAGUAGUGAAAUGCGUUGAUAUCGUGAGGAACACCUAAGGCGAAGGCAGCCGAUUGGCGCGCUUCUGACGCUGAGCCGCGAAAGCGUGGGUAGCGAAUGGGAUUAGAUACCCCAGUAGUCCACGCCCUAAACGAUGCAUACUAGGUGUAGGGAGAAUCGACCCUCUCUGUGCCGUAGCUAACGCGUUAAGUAUGCCGCCUGGGAAGUACGAGCGCAAGCUUAAAACUCAAAGGAAUUGACGGA